UUCCACAGAUCUUUCCUCAUU
rnacentral:miRNA from 1 species